rnacentral:tRNA from 1 species
AGCCUCCGUAGCUCAGUGGUAAGAGCACUGGUCUCGUAAACCAGGGGUCGUGAGUUCGAUCCUCACCGGGGCUA